CCUACGGGAGGCAGCAGUGGGGAAUAUUGCACAAUGGGGGAAACCCUGAUGCAGCGACGCCGCGUGAGUGAAGAAGUAUCUCGGUACGUAAAGCUCUAUCAGCAGGGAAGAAAAUGACGGUACCUGACUAAGAAGCCCCGGCUAACUACGUGCCAACAGCCGCGGUAAUACGUAGGGGGCAAGCGUUAUCCGGAUUUACUGGGUUUAAAGGGAGCGUAGAAGGCAGCACAAGUCUGGAGUGAAAUCCCGGGGCUUAACCCCGGAACUGCUUUGGAAACUGUGCGGCUGGAGUGCAGGAGGGGUAAGCGGAAUGCCUAGUGUAGCGGUGAAAUGCUUAGAUAUUGCGCAGAACUCCGAUUGCGAAGGCAGCAUACCGGCGGCGAUCUGACGCUGAGGCACGAAAGCGUGGGUAUCGAACAGGAUUAGAUACCCGAGUAGUC
rnacentral:rRNA from 1 species